UACAGAGGGUGCGAGCGUUAAUCGGAAUUACUGGGCGUAAAGCGCGCGUAGGCGGCUUUGCAAGUCGGGUGUGAAAUCCCCAGGCUUAACCUGGGAACUGCAUUCGAGACUGCAUUGCUAGAGUAUGGGAGAGGGAAGUGGAAUUUCCGGUGUAGCGGUGAAAUGCGUAGAUAUCAGGAGGAACACCAGUGGCGAAGGCGGUGGUCUGGGCCGGAACUGACGCUGAGGCGCGAAAGCUAGGGGAGCAAACAGG
rnacentral:rRNA from 1 species